UGAAGCGCCUGUGCUCUGCCGAGA
rnacentral:miRNA from 1 species